rnacentral:rRNA from 1 species
UUAAGCCGGAGAAGUGGGGAUGACGUCAAGUCAGCAUGGCCUUUAUGUCCAGGGCUACACACACGCUACAAUGGUCAGCACAAUAGGUAGCCAAGCCGCGAGGUGGAGCCAAUCCUCAAAGCUGGCCUCAGUUCAGAUCGCAGGCUGCAACCCGCCUGCGUGAAGCCGGAGUUGCUAGUAACCGCAGGUCAGCUAUACUGCGGUGAAUACGUUCCCGGGCUU